UACAGAGGUCCCAAGCGUUGUUCGGAUUCACUGGGCGUAAAGGGCGCGUAGGUGGCGCGGUAAGCGUGCGGUGAAAGCCUGGGGCUCAACCCCGGGUCGGCCGUGCGAACUGCUGGGCUUGAGCACUGUAGAGGCAGGCGGAAUUCCGGGUGUAGCGGUGGAAUGCGUAGAGAUCCGGAAGAACACCGGUGGCGAAGGCGGCCUGCUGGGCAGUUGCUGACACUGAGGCGCGACAGCGUGGGGAGCAAACAGG
rnacentral:rRNA from 1 species